rnacentral:rRNA from 1 species
GAUGAACGCUAGCGAUAGGCCUAACACAUGCAAGUCGAGGGGCAGCAUAGAGUAGCAAUACUUUGAUGGCGACCGGCGCACGGGUGAGUAACACGUAUGCAACCUACCUACAUCAGGGGAAUAACCCGGAGAAAUUCGGACUAAUACCGCAUAAUACAGGGAUGCCGCAUGGCAAUAUUUGUUAAAGAUUUAUCGGAUGUAGAUGGGCAUGCGUUCCAUUAGCUGGUUGGUAAGGUAACGGCUUACCAAGGCAACGAUGGAUAGGGGAACUGGGAGGUUUGUCCCCCACACUGGAACUGAGAAACGGACCAGACUCCUACGGGAGGCAGCAGUGAGGAAUAUUGGUCAAUGGACGAGAGUCUGAACCAGCCAAAUCGCGUGAAGGAAGACUGCCCUACGGGUUGUAAACUUCUUUUGUACAGGAAUAAAAGACAUUACGUGUAAUGUAUUGCAUGUACUGUACGAAUAAGCAUCGGCUAACUCCGUGCCAGCCGCCGCUGUAA